AUGUACUUCUGUGUACACUCCGGCUCCUGCGCUCCGGCCUCCCCCAUUUCAGAACCGCUCGCUACGAUUUCUGUCGC
rnacentral:sRNA from 1 species